rnacentral:lncRNA from 1 species
CCUGAAGAUUGGAGGGGAUGAGUCAGGGGCAAGGAAGGAUUAACAGAUUCUGCCUCAAGUCCUGGUGAACCAACUCCUCUCCCCAAGACAGACACAUACUAGUGAAAUAAAUUGGAUUUAAAUCAUCACCUGAGGCAAUCCUGAAAGAGAAAAGCAGUCCUAGAAAAGAGUGGAGGAAAAGAGGACAGCCCCAUUCUCUUUGUGACCACGAAGACUGCCGCCAUGUGGUUGGGAGCCACGUAACUUCUUUUAGUGCCAGCUGAGAUUCUUCUGCCCUGGAACUAGUUCCUCCGAGUUAUUGCCAGGCCUGGAGAUUGAAUUCCUGCAGCUGGAAGGUGGGGAAAGCAAAAUGUUGUGAGCACCUACCAUAUGCCAGGCACUGUUCAGUGAACUGGUUGUACAGGAGUGAAUGAGAUCAUCUUGAUUUUGAGAAGUUUAUAAUCUACUCAAGGGAAACACGUGUAAUCAACUAUGUUUCAGACAUAACCCCUCAAAACCAAAGCAGAACCUCUUCAAGGAGCUGAGAGAUGCAAGCCUGGAGGAAACAACAUUCACCCCAAAGACUCAGAUGAAGAGGCUUGAAGGAUGGGAUCAUUCUGGAGGAGAAAAGCGGGGCAGCAUCAAACCCCUCCCACUGGGGCAACCUGCUGAGCAUCUCCCUGGCCUUGGCCCCUGGCCAUACCACACAAGUGUCCAAUGAGUCACUGAUCCUGAAGAACAAGAGAAGACUGACCACAGACCCCAAAAGGAAGCAGGAGUACAACCUUCGAAGUUGGUGGGCAACAAGAGGUCAGAGGUUGACAAGCAUCCACACAGCUCUAAGACUAGCAUCAUGUGGCUACCCAGGACCUGGGAGAGUGCUGCAGAGCAGGAGCAGGAAAGGGACCGGCUGUUCCCAUAGAACUUCAUGUCACAGGUCUGGGAGCCAGGGGGCCUUGGUUCUAGUCCCAACUCUCCCUCUAAGUUGUCUUAUGGCCACAGCAAUGAACCAAGACAAUGAGAAGUAGCGAGUACAGUUGAGGAGGCCUUGUCUGAGGAGGAGGCAGGUUUUCAUGAAGAUGCAGCAGAUCAUCUGGGAGAAAUUGAGAAUGAGGAAGGACUUGAUAAUAGGGCAUCUUAGUUCUGCUGAACACUCCUGAAUAAAGGGGAGGCCACAAGUCCCCACAUCUGGAUAAGGAGCCCAGUUGGUGGGCAUGGAACGGACCUUGACACAGAAGAGAAUGGAGAUAUGGGAGCCAUGUCCUGGAACCCUGGCUUGGUGUUGAAAUAAAUUAGAAGCUGACUUGCUGUGCAGCUGGUAAAGCUUCCACUUCGGGGCCCUUCAGUUGCAUGGGCCUUUCCCAAGACCCCAGGGAAGGGCUUAGCAAUAUGCUCACAUGGUCUGAUGUUCUUAUAUGCAAACAAUUUUUUUAGAGAUAUCUUAAAUAUGCUUGCUCAACACCUCUGUCCACUUCUGCCUUCCCUCCAUCCUUCUUCUUCUUGCCUUGAGUGUGUUUGGAGAUCAUGGGGGCUUUGAGGCUCCAUCUAAGAGGAAGUUAAAUGGAAGAUCCAGUUAGCUGGGUUUCAUGGGAUAUAUUUGUGAGGUUCACAGUCACUGUUGUGUCGGGUUAAGUUACUGCUAGCUGUCCCAGUAUGGAGUAGAUUCCAGGAAUACUCCUGAGGCCCCCGUGCUGACCUGCCCUACAGUGAUGUGAUUGUACAGGGCCAGGUCAUACCGUGAUCAGGACGUGGCCUGUGUACUGGCACUGUACGGCUGGAUAGUGGAAGAGAAGCUAGGAUAAACAUGUGCAGACCA